GGACGUGUUAGGGGAUGACUCCUGGGUAGAGAGCAGUGCGGCUUUUUUAAAUAGUCCACAGAGAAAGCUUUGGGUAAAUGGUCUUUGCAUGUUAGUUCUGCCCUUCAGGAGCUGCCAAGCACAGCUUCAGCUGUUCUCCAUCUGCCCGGAGGGUCUGGGGAAACCAGAGGAGGGGGCUCCUGAUGGGUCAGCAUCCCUGGGGACCACAGUCAAGAGGAAUGAGAGAGCUCGGUGGUUAGUGAACAGGAGCUGGACACCUGCAGACCAGUGUUACAGGAAUUAGACUCCGGUCAGCAAGACCUGCAGCCAUGGUCGAGGAAUGCCAGGUCCCAGGCCGGGAGCAACCCUCAUCGCAUCAGUGGGGCAGAAUUACUCAAGUUACUCACCGCCUGUGCUGUGCCUGGGGCUGGGCGUGUGCGCUCCCCUCCCUUAGGCCCAUGAUGUUGGAGAGAUGGGCAGGUGACAACUCACCACCGGGAAGAAAACAUUCUCACGGUCUGCCAAUCACUGAAGCCUCAGAACUUUAUUUCUCUCAUCAAAGUCUCCUUCUGUCCGCACUGAGUCGGGCAGAGAGGAAGCUUUCAGAAUCUUCGGAGGGGAGCAUCUGUCAGAAGAGCAAAUUUUUCUCUUGCUAAAACUGACACUGUCCCAUUUUAGGCAAUCGAAAUUCUCUCUUUUUACCACAUUCUAAGUCGCUUAGGAGUCCCUUCUUGUGAGGAGGUGAGAAAAACCCUCCCCUUCGGAUAUUUGCAUAUUAAGUUUUAAAAAAAAUUUAGUAUUUAUUUAUUUUAAUACAAAGCUUCGGCAUUAGCAAUUUUUUGGAAAAAAUAAAGUGUACAAAAAUAUCAUAUUAAGUUUUAAUUUAACAAAUGCUCAUGCAGCACUAGUCUGCAGGCACUAUUGCAGGACUUCAUAACUAUUAGCUGAUUCUAACCUUCAAGAUGACUCUUUGAGGCAGGUAGCAUUAUCCCAUUUUAUAGAUAAGAAAAACCGAGGCGCAGGGUGGUAAUUGUCCAAGGCCCACAGCUAGUAUCACAGAGGCGAGCGUCUCCUAGCUUGGCUCCAGAAUCUGGGUCAGAUCCUGAGGCUGUGUUAUCUCAGUUUAAGUCCUGCAACUUUCAUUUAGGUCUGCAACCACCCGCAAGGUAGCUCUCACUCCCAUUUCCUCAGAGGACCCUGCGGCUCCAAGACGUUAACUUUGCUCAAGGUCACACAGACUUAAGUGACAGGGCUGCAGUGGGCAUUUGCUUUUGUCUGACCCCAAAGGGACAGCAGGCUGAGCUAACUGCUCCAUCCACGGAGGAAUGAUGUUCUACCUUGAGAGGCGUCGACACCAAGGGCGCUUCCCUCACAGCUCCUGUGGAUGGUCAGGAGCUCCCACGACUCAAAUUCUCCUUCUUUCUCUUUUUCAUUUUCUUUCUUUAUCCCCACUUCUCACAGUUGGUUUGGAACCUGUAGUUGAAUGUUGGAUGGUGGUACUGACGACCAAAGGCGUCUUUGUCUUGUCAUUCACACUGUUUUCCAAGGACGUUGGUGAUGUACUGCUGGCUCCUUGGGGGAAUAGGCAGAGCCCUGCAGGAGGAGGAAGAGGAUGGUGGUGCUGACAGUGGCUCUGCCUCUUGCUUGCAGGGGAACUUGGACAGGUUACGUAACUUGUCCAAGCUUCAGUGUUGAUGUCGAGUUGGACAAGAUUUAGGGCUGGUUGAUUCGAUUUUUUAAUUUAGUAUUUUUUAAGCUGCAGAAUAUUUAAAUUAUAAGGAAUCUUAGAAGUACCUCCAAAUACUCCAGAUACCUCCAAAAUGGUAUUAUGGGGGCCAUGAAGGGCUCUGCAGAGCUCAAGACUGGAAAUCACUGGAUCAGGUGAUACCAGACUUUGCAUGACAAUGUGAACUGGGGUAUCAGUUUCCUAGAACAGCAGUAAUAAAUUACCAUAAAUUUGGUGGCUUAAAAUGACAGAAAUAUAUUCUUUUAUAGCUCUGGAGACCAGAAGUUCAAAAUCAAAGUGUUGGCAGAAUUGUAGUCAGUCCAUGGGCUCUAGGGCAGACUCCUUCCUGGCCUCUUCCUAAACUUCUGGGGGCUCUGGCCAUCCUUGGCUUUCCCUGGUUUGGGACUUUAUCACUCCAGUCUCUGCUUCUGUCUUCACAUGGCCUCCUCCUCUGUGUUCUGUGUCUUCUGUCUCUUACAAAGGACACUUACCAUUGGAUUUCGAAUCCACCUGGAUAAUCCAGGAUGUCCUCAACUCAGGAUCCUUAACUUACAUCUGCAAAGACCCAAAUAAGGUUAUGCUCAGAGGUUCCAGGCAGUUAGGACAUGAACAUAUCUUUUUAGAGACCACCAUUCAACCCACUACAAUCAGUGAUGACUUGUAAGCAUCUACCAUGUGCUAAGCAUCCCAGGGAUACAGAGAUAAUCAAGACAAAAAUGCGACUCCCUGAGAACCUCUAGGCUUGUUUGACAAUUUCUACUUAAUUUAAGGCAUUUGCAUUGAUGCUUUCUUCCCUUCCUCCCUCCCUUCCCUUUCUUCCUUCCUUCCUUCCUUCCGUCCUUCCUUUUAAAGAGGAACUUAUGGAUAUAUAAUUUACAAACAGUAACCUUUGCCCUGCAUUGGUAUACAGCUGGGGAAGCAGCCUUAGGGAGGUAAAAUGCCUGCCUCCAGCGUACACAGAGAGGAGGAGGCAGCGGCCGGGAUUUGAACCUAUGCUCUCUCUUACCAGGGCUUGCGUCAGUCUCCACAGUCUCUAAGCUUCCUCUGGGCACCUCCAAUUCCUAGUAUAUCAAGUCAGGAGGCUGACAGAUGCUUUCUAGAAACCCUUAGAGCACUGCCCUUGGAAACUCCCAUCAUGAAGGACAGGGGAACACUCCUUAUUCAAAGCAACCCUUCAGUGCGAGGAGACUUCCUGACAUGGAAAUCUGUAUGCCUCCUAUAAGCAUCACCUGUUUGUGUCUGUAGGCCCCGGGAAGUGGAUUUACAGCUUAGGAUGUCUCAUUUCAAUUGAACUAAUCCUCACAAAAUGGACAAGUGAUGUAAAUGAUUCCCGUGAAGAAACUGCAAGCUGCAGAGAGGACUAAUGCUGCUGCCUGAGGGCACAGCAGAAUAGCUGACUCCGUCCCUCCCCAACUCCUAGUGCUCGCUGCUUCUCAGCUAAUGGCUGGAUAAAAAUAAUGGCAGUCUGAUUGCAUCAAUCACAGAGUUGGUCAAAAGACUUAAAAUAUUAUGAAGAGACCAUAUUUGAAAUAUGGUCUCUCGUCCACUGUCCUUAAUAAUGACUCUCUUUGAGUGAUCACUGUACGUUGACACAGCUAAUGAAAGCGUGAAGCCACAGCAAUUAGGAAGACAUUUAGAAACUUUUUUCAACUGGUUAAAGUCAUGAUAUAUUUAACCCAGCCCCUUACAAAUAUUGAUUAAAUUUGAUUAAUUUUAAAUUUAUUACUUCAAAGUGAAAGGUCAUAAUCUAUUGGUCAAACACUUAUUCCUCUUGCUAUGAUGAAAUGGCUGGAGAAAUAUCUGAACACUUCAUAGUGACAUCUUAACAUGGACUCCUUGGUCAUUAAAUAUUGUUGGAAGAUGCAUAGAACUUGUUGCUGAAGAGUUGAAGACAACUUAAAUAAUUCAGUGUGAGAGGUCUGCCAUACAAUUACUGGAAAGUCUAGAAGACUCCAACAUAAUUCAGCUUAUAUUAUUUCUAGACUCUUCAUUUCUGUAAUGAAUUACAUUGGAGAACUUUUUCCUGUGAGCUCUUAAAGAAAAGAUGUACCAGAAAAAAAAAUUCUCUAUAGUAAAUGAGUUUCUAAACAAAA